CGGGAAACCGCCCCUGAGGGGCGGGGCCGCUCCCUCCCCUUGUGCCGGGCCUGUGGCACGCUGAGGGGGCGGCCAUUUUGUGGUGGCGAGGGCUGGGGGCAGCGGAGCUGUGGCGCUGUGUGGGAGCAGCUGUUCUGCUGCUCUGACUGCUCUCCGAUGUGCUGAGGCUUACACUUACCUGCCUUCUGAAGACAAAUCGUAGAAGACCAUGAUAGCUAGCAGAGGGAAGCUGGAAUAUGAGACCGGUGAAUCCUUGAAUCCUUCAGGAGCUGAGUGCUCUCUUCCAUCAGAACAGAGUAUGGAACUCCCCCCUGCUGAGGACUCACCUUCCAUGCAGUACUGGACAGCUGGCCAUGGUCUGAUGUGGCUGAGAUCUGCAGGCAAACACACAGAAAGAGAGAGACACUACACUACUUUGACAUGGACAGCUGAGGAAGGAGCCUUGGCACAUCUUUGAACAUGAACAAUCUGAAAGACACCUGCUCUGAGAGGCCUUCAGAUUUAGUGUGCAAAAGCUGACUCUGCUUGGAUGCGUUUCAGGCUUGGAGCAAUCCAUUUCUCCCACUCAGACGAGAUACCUUACAAGAUGCUCUGCAUGUAGCUUACUUCUUUGUGGCAGUACCCUUAGGAUUCCUCGUCUUCAGUUGAGUUUGUGGCUGAUCAAGCAAAGGGAUGACCAGAAGUUCCUUUGGGGUUUCACUGCAUCUCAUAGGUUUCUUACAGUGUGCACAAACUCUAGGUAACUCUUCUGACAUUGUAGGUAACUUCAUUGCUUCUGCUAUUUCUCCUAAAAUGUGAACCCUAUAUGUCAAGUGACCAAAAUUCUCUUAGAAUAUGAUUCUUUGCUUUGUAGUCUCAUGAAGGCAAGUUCAGUGGAGUGAGGAGUUUUUUUCGUAUUACUUUAAAAUCCAGGUAAGUAAUGCCAUAAGAAUGGCUGGAUUGAGAGUGCUAAGAAUGCCCAUAGACCAGCGUUCAGUCUCACAGUGUAGUUGAUAAUGGACUUGUAGAGGAAGCGUAGAAGUGACAUUGUAUAUUAGGAAGAAGCCUCCCAUUGGGAUGCUCUCCAGCUUUUGGGAGUCUUGGGCUUCCGAAGUCAGCAUUUUCUUCUGGACCAUGGUUAUGCUGAAGUUCCUGUUGACACAUACUUUGUCACUCUGCGUCCCUUAUGUGCAUUUUUGCACAUUUAACAUCAAAAAAUAA